ACUUUCAAAGGAUAAUAGCAAUCCAGUGGUCUUAGGAGCCAUUCAUCUUGGUGCAAAUCCAAGUGAAAGUA
rnacentral:tRNA from 1 species